rnacentral:rRNA from 1 species
AUUGAACGCUGGCGGCAUGCCUUACACAUGCAAGUCGAACGGCAGCACGGGAGCAACCCUGGUGGCGAGUGGCGAACGGGUGAGUAAAGUAUCGGAACGUGCCCAGUCGUGGGGGAUAACGUAGCGAAAGUUACGCUAAUACCGCAUACGAUCUAUGGAUGAAAGCGGGGGAUCGCAAGACCUCGCGCGAUUGGGGCGGCCGAUAUCAGAUUAGGUAGUUGGUGGGGUAAAGGCUCACCAAGCCGACGAUCUGUAGCUGGUCUGAGAGGACGACCAGCCACACUGGGACGGAGACACGGCCCAGACUCCUACGGGAGGCAGCAGUGGGGAAUUUUGGACAAUGGGCGAAAGCCUGAUCCAGCCAUGCCGCGUGCAGGAUGAAGGCCUUCGGGUUGUAAACUGCUUUUGUACGGAACGAAAAGGUUUGGCCUAAUAAGCUGAGCUCAUGGCGGUACCGUAAGAAUAAGCACCGGCUAACUACGUGCCAGCCGCCGCGGUAA